UGGUGCAAGGCCCAUCUAAAGUACAGCAACAGCUUGACCGGCCCAAACAGAAUGGUCCAGCCUGCCACCAGCUGCUACUACACAAUUGCUGAAGUCUGUCCACACACGAACUCCACAAAGCACUCGAUCGCUGACGGCAACACACUGUAUUCCACUCAUCCACUGUACCGUGUGGAGAGCAGCUGCAACGUGUGGCUCUAACACAAGCACCAUUACAUUCUAGCCCAUUUCUGCCUUACUAAUCUGGAUCGUGGAUGGCAGGCUGGGUGAAAAUGGUCACGAAAGUUGUCGAUUGACUGAGCGUUGUUUCCAUAUAAAAUGUGCACAGUCAAAAUCGUGUGUUGAAUCCUCUGUCAGCAAUGUACAACAUGGAACAUGCUACAAAUCUUGGCUUGCAAUGGAUCUAACGACUGAGCAACUACUACUACUACUACUACUACUAGAGAUGGCUGAUGGCAGAAGAUCUGUCAGAAAUGCAAAAGAAAGACAUGGCAGAAGAUGGCCGAGCAUGUGUUAGCUCUGAACAGUGAAUAUAAUUACAGGAAGAGCCAACCGUUGACAAUGCAGAUCACCAUUCUCAUUUGCUCCAAAACUUGACUCGAGUAUUCAUAUAUACUACAUCAACGGGGCGAGCAUCACAUGCUGCAAUGGCAAAUAGUAUAGCUAAUCACCAUUGACCAGCUUCAGCAAGUGGGUGUUUUAAGUGUUUUCUCUGUGAUGAGCAAAGCCUGAUUAAUUAGCAGAAACUUCAAACAUCAGCGGCAGGUAAAGCAUCAAGCCCAAGCAGUACACGCAGAUCUAAAAGCCAAAAGGAAUGACCAGCUUCACAAGUCAAAUGCGACGUUUCCUCCUCACUCUCUCACGCACCUACCGAGCUGUUGAGACGCCACCGACUGAAAAAAUUCAGAAAAACGCAAGCUUGCAGGCUGCAGGUGUGUGUGUUGAGGACGAAAGUUUGGUUGCUCUGAACUGAUUCUGAUCUGCACGAAAAUGUGCAAGCAAAGGAACAGGGAGGCGUACGUACUUGAGGACUAACUGACGGACGCUAAUGAUCUUUUUCUUCUGUGAUGUUGAUUAAUUAUAAGCUGGGUUGUCUCUGUCGAGCCAGCCAUUGGUGUCAAGUUACGGGCAGAUAGCGACUACGCAUCUGCAACGAAUUGACGGCAAAAGUACAACGUGAAGCCAAUACGAUUAUGAUGCUGCUCCUAGGUUACUACUACAAGCAGCUUCUUUCUCUUUAAUUGAGUAAUUAAUUUUUAUCCUACUACCAAAUGAGCUACUGCUGCUACUACUACUACUGUGAUCUCCUAGACUCCCUAUUUCUAAUAGCUGGGCAUGAAGCUUCCAACUCAGCCUGCCUUUCUUUCUGUGCUUCUCUGAAGAAAGGCAUCUCUGCAAAGUCUGCAACUUGAGGACAACACCAAUUACUGCCCUCUGCACAACAGGUGAAGGGAAGAGAAGAGCUGGUAGAAUGGCUAGCAUGGAACAGAACAAAUUAAGUUGUGCAGUGAUCAUGUCAUUAGUGCCAGCUGAAAAAAUGGGACAGAGGAUCAUAUCUACUUGUAAUAGAGUACACUAUAGUAUAGCAGAAGUGUUGUUGUUGCUGCACCACUCAACUCACAAUUGAUAGGCUGAUCUGGCCAUCACAUGAAUGAAAGUAUGUAUCAAACUUUAUACAAACCCCA